rnacentral:pre_miRNA from 1 species
UGUGUACUCCCUCCAUUCCAAAAUACUUGACUUCCAUUUGUCCAAAAUUGGAUGUACCUAUAUACUAAAACAUGUCUAGAUACAUAUAUAUUUUGACAAAUAGAAGGUAUGUAUUGUGCAACGGAGGGAGUAGAAU